CACGCCGUAAACGAUGAGUGCUAGGUGUUGGGUGUCAAAGCUCAGUGCCGCAGCUAACGCAAUAAGCACUCCGCCUGGGGAGUACGAUGGCAACAUUGAAACUCAAAGGAAUUGACGGGGACCCGCACAAGCAGCGGAGCAUGUGGUUUAAUUCGAUGCAACGCGAAGAACCUUACCAAGGCUUGACAUUGAGUGAAAGGCUAAGAGAUUAGCCCCUCUCUUCGGAGACACGAAAACAGGUGG
rnacentral:rRNA from 1 species